rnacentral:lncRNA from 1 species
CUACGCCAAUCACUACAACAGAAUUAGGUUAUAGGGACACAUGUUUGGGACACUUUUGAGUAAGUGUCCCAUUUAUGCUAAAACUUAAAGAAACAUCUACUAAUGCCUAAAUAUAAAUCCCAAUCCAACCAAAAAUAAAAGAUUACUCUACUCAACCCACCACACCCAGUCCAUUUGGCCCGAUUACAAACAAAAAAGAAAAAAAAAAGAAAAAUCAAUUACCAUAUUUUCUUCUCUCUUCACUCAAUCCACUGAAAUUCUAGACGAAGAGCCAUUCCUGUCGUCAUCCUCCGCCACCGCAGCCAACGAGAUAGAGUUUCGGCGGUUGCUAAAUGCUUAAAUAAGUUGUUGGUAAAUUAGCAGCACUCUUUUAGGUUAUAGUGACACUCUUUAACUGUCACUAUAUACCUAGCGACCCCACAUAUAGCAACACUUUUUAAAAGUGUCGGUAAUUUUAGUUAGCAGCACUUUUUUGACAUGUACCUAUAUUUAAAAGUGUCGCUAUAGACCGUUUUUGAUGUAGUGAUGCAAACAGUAUUUUGUAAGGAGAUUACAAAAUACCACUUAGGGAUCGAGAGCGAGCAAAAAUGAAUCUUUUUUAAUGAAUUAUUAUAUUUAACUAUGGCUUUAUGGCUCUAGAGAGUUUUAAAUCUUAUCUCAACUUAUGUCCUUUACAAUAGAAGUUUCAAACUUUAUUUGCCAAACAAUUAGAUACUGCUUCUUAGAAUAAAAAAAAAGAAGAAAAUUUAGAAAUGUGACAAAUAUAUAGUAUAGGAUUUAUUGUAUAUAGCUUUCUGUAAACAUAUCGAAUAGCAAAUAUGUCCCUAUAAAGUUCAAAUUUCUACUCUUAUUCCUGCAAAAGUCCUAACGUUUUCAAAUAUAUUCUUAACUGCUAGGAUCCGUUAGAAAAAUAUAGUUAAACAUAUGUAACAUACUUAAUCUUGAUUUAUUAGUGAGGUAAAUUAACUUUUUUACCCCUCUAAUAUUUGACCUUCUUCUCUCCAUCAAAACUCUAGUAAUGGAAAAUCUUUUUCUUCUUCAUCUUCCUUUUCCUCUCUCUCCUUCAUGCUAGUUUCGAACCUGUAGCUAUAU